UGCGUAGGGCGCAAGCGUUAUCCGGAAUUAUUGGGCGUAAAGAGCUCGUAGGCGGUUUGUCGUGUCUGCCGUGAAAGUCCGGGGCUCAACUCCGGAUCUGCGGUGGGUACGGGCAGACUAGAGUGAUGUAGGGGAGACUGGAAUUCCUGGUGUAGCGGUGAAAUGCGCAGAUAUCAGGAGGAACACCGAUGGCGAAGGCAGGUCUCUGGGCAUUAACUGACGCUGAGGAGCGAAAGCAUGGGGAGCGAACAGG
rnacentral:rRNA from 1 species